AGGUCCAGGCGACAGAAAGUGAAGCCGAAGAAGAAACGACUCCACGCCAGCUUUAAGAACGAUUGAGGUGGGCAUUAUUUUAUUAUUACGUAUAUAGAGAUCCCCUGCGUGACGUAGGCCUCAUAUGCGAAUAUAUAUGCAUGAUAUGUUUUGACUAUUUAUUCAGUUCUUAUGAAAUGUUUAUAUGUUUAAUGCCCUUUAUGAAAAUGAAAAUGUUAUGAAAAUGAAAUGUUUAUGAAAUGAUUGACUGCCAAAAUGUUUAUGUUUUUAUAUGUAUCCUAUCUGUGUUGGUUCGCCAACUUUAAAGGAAAUCCAAUUGGGAUCCUAUGCUAGACAAAGGUCGCUAGCUAGGGUUAACGUGUACACUCAUGGAGACCGCGAGUCGCUUGCGACCGGUCUUGGCGUCCGUGGUAAGGAGGCCUCCUUCCCGGCGCGUGACAGAAAGGACAGAUAUGGAUCAUAUAGACUGAAAAUGGGAUGCAUCCACCUUUAUGAAAAUGAAUGAAAUGUUUUAGUAAGCGCAGGUCAUUUAUGAAAACCCCUGUGUGUUACUGUUAUGGCAGUUCAAUAUAUAUAUGUAUGCAUGUUGUAUUUUCGGCUUAUGUCACUGAGUAUUUUUAUACUCAGCCCUGCAUGUAUUUCUAAAUGUGCAGGUUGAGCAGGCGAUGGAAUGGAUUGGUGUUGAGUGGAUUUCCCUUUUGAUGUUUAUGUAAUGAAACCUUGAGUAUGCAUCUCCAUAUGCAUAACUCACACGUUUUUCCGCUGCAAACACUCUGAAUUUGUUAUCGUAUUGUGGAACUUAUUACUCCUUCAUUUUGUUUAACUUUCAUUUGGGG
rnacentral:lncRNA from 1 species